CAGCCGCCACGGUAAUACGAAGGGUGCAAGCGUUACUCGGAAUUACUGGGCGUAAAGCGUGCGUAGGUGGUGGUUUAAGUCCGUUGUGAAAGCCCUGGGCUCAACCUGGGAAUUGCAGUGGAUACUGGGUCACUAGAGUGUGGUAGAGGAUAGUGGAAUUUCCGGUGUAGCAGUGAAAUGCGUAGAGAUCGGAAGGAACAUCUGUGGCGAAGGCGACUAUCUGGGCCAACACUGACACUGAGGCACGAAAGCGUGGGGAGCAAACAGGAUUAGAUACCCCGGUAGUCCCUGUCUCUUAUAA
rnacentral:rRNA from 1 species